rnacentral:rRNA from 1 species
UGCCCUUAGAUGUUCUGGGCCGCACGCGCGCUACACUGACAGAGCCAACGAGUUCUUCACCUUGGCCGAAAGGUCUGGGUAAUCUUGUUAAACUCUGUCGUGCUGGGGAUAGAGCAUUGCAAUUAUUGCUCUUCAACGAGGAAUGCCUAGUAAGCGCGUGUCAUCAGCAUGCGUUGAUUACGUCCCUGCCCUUUGUACACACCGCCCGUCGCUACUACCGAUUGAAUGGCUCGGCCCGUGCCCCCGCCCC